GCCCCGUUAGCUCAAUUGGAGAGAGUAAUGGGCUUCGAACCCAAAGGUUGCAGGUUCAACUCCUGCACGGGGCA
rnacentral:tRNA from 1 species